rnacentral:lncRNA from 1 species
CAUACAUCCUUUCCGCGGGAAUUUAUUUCUGGUUCUCACAAGGCGUUUCUGCUCCCCGGCAGAGCAGGCCUUGCUUCUCGGCGCUCUCUGCUCGCGCUCUCCGCAGCCUCCUCUUCGCGGCUUGAACCGAGACUUGGGAACAGAAAUCGAAACGGUCACGGCCCUCCGGGGCGCGCGGCUCGGGGCGCGCGGGUCCGGCCGGGGUCGGGCGAGCCCACGGCCCGCGGGCGCGCCGCUCCGGGGAGGCCCCAAGCCACCGGUUGCGGCGGCCGCUCCCCGCUGCCCGCUGCCCGCUGCCCGCUCCCCGCUCCCCGCUCCCCCCGCGGCGCAGAGGCCACCUCGGGCCUCCGAAGUUCGCACCGCGGCGCGGGCAGCGCGCGCCCCCCCCCACCGCGGCCCGCGGCCCCGGAACCCCGGCCCCCGGGCCCCCCGGCCCCGCUGCGGGUUCGCGCCCGGGCCCCGGAGCGAGCCCGGGGGGCGGGUCCGCGGGGGCUCGGCGGGCGGGAGCGCGGGGAGGGGCGCGCGGCGGGGAACUUGGGCGCCUCCGGCACCGCCGCCCCGCCACUUCCCUUUCACGCCCGCGGGGCCGCCGCGCACCGCGCCGCCCGCUCGCCCGCCCGCCCGCCCGGGGCCGCUCUCCGCCGCGCCGAGGCGCCCAGGCGCGCUCCUGCAGCCCGGCCGGCCGGUGCGCGGGGCCGGGGCCGGGGCCGGGGCCGGGGCCGGGGCCGGGGCCGCGGCCGCGGGGGCGCGCGAGGCCGCGCGCGGGCGCCGCGCUCCCCCCGCCCCGCCCCCGCCCCAACGUGCCGCCGCCGCCGCCGCCGCCGCCCGUUGGCGCCUCCGCCCGCGCGCCCGCCCGCCGCCCGCCGGCCCCGGCCCCGGCCGCUCUCCGCUCGCAAAGUUGCGCGGCCCGCCUCGGAGGGAAGGGGACGGGCGGGGAGGGGAGGGGCGCCGCGCCGCCCCCCGCCGCCGCCCCCCGCCGCCCGCCGCCGCCCGCCGCCGCCGCCGCCCCUCCAGGCCGCCGCGCGCGGGAAGGCCCAGCUGGCCGCCCCGCUUUUUUACCUGCCGGGAGUUUUCGCGCGCGCCCUCGCUCGACCGCUGGCUUUUCCCCCUUCUCGCGCUCCUUUUCUUUCUUUCUUUCCUUCUUUUCGCUUCCCCGCGCGGGCGCUUUCUCCGCUCGCGCCGCCCGCGCCCGCCCGCGCGCGCCCUCCUUCCUGCUGGGCUCGCGGAGCGGGCGGCCGGCAGCUCUCCCCGCCCCCCUCCACCCGCGCUCCGGCGGAGGCGGCGGCGGCGGCGGCGGCGGCGGCGCUCCGCGCUCCGACUCAUUCCAAUAUGGCACGGGCGCACCGCGCAUGCGCCCGCGCCCCCCCACCCGCGCUCUCCCGGCAGCCCGCGCCCCUCGCGCCGCGCGUGUGCCCCCGGCCCGCCGGCCGCCCCCCCGGCCCGCCAGCCGCCCCCCCGCGCCCGCCCCCGCGCCCCGAGCCCCAACUGCCGCCGAGCCCCCGAGGCCGUGGCGCAGGGCACGCGGCGGCGCCUGCGGGGCCCCCGACGGCGCGGACGGGCCCGGCCAGGGAGACGCGCGCGCCCCGCGGCCCCAGCGCCCACCGGUCCGCCCCCCGUUCCCCGAGGCUCGGGGCGGCCGCGCCGCUGCCGUCCGCACGUGACCGCCCCGGGCAAGGCGGCAUGAGCGGGGGAACGGGCGGCGCGGAGCCCCGGCCUCCGCGGGAGGCGCCCGCAGAUGCGAGUGCG